rnacentral:rRNA from 1 species
UACGUAGGGUGCGAAGCGUUGUUCGGAAUUACUGGGCGUAAAGCGCGCGUAGGCGGGCUUGAAAGUUGAUUGUGAAAGCCCUGGGCUUAACCCGGGAAUGGCAGUCAAAACUACAAGUCUUGAGUGCCUGAGAGGAUGGCGGAAUUCCCGGUGUAGUAGUGAAAUACGUAGAUAUCGGGAAGAACACCUGAGGCGAAGGCGGCUAUCUGGCGGUGCACUGACGCUGAGGCGACGAAAGCGUGGGGAGCAAACAAG